rnacentral:rRNA from 1 species
GAUGAACGCUGGCGGCGUGCCUAAUACAUGCAAGUCGAGCGAACAGACGAGGAGCUUGCUCCUCUGACGUUAGCGGCGGACGGGUGAGUAACACGUGGAUAACCUACCUAUAAGACUGGGAUAACUUCGGGAAACCGGAGCUAAUACCGGAUAAUAUAUUGAACCGCAUGGUUCAAUAGUGAAAGACGGUUUUGCUGUCACUUAUAGAUGGAUCCGCGCCGCAUUAGCUAGUUGGUAAGGUAACGGCUUACCAAGGCGACGAUGCGUAGCCGACCUGAGAGGGUGAUCGGCCACACUGGAACUGGGACACGGUCCAGACUCCUACGGGAGGCAGCAGUAGGGAAUCUUCCGCAAUGGGCGAAAGCCUGACGGAGCAACGCCGCGUGAGUGAUGAAGGUCUUCGGAUCGUAAAACUCUGUUAUUAGGGAAGAACAAAUGUGUAAGUAACUAUGCACAUCUUGACGGUACCUAAUCAGAAAGCCACGGCUAACUACGUG